CAGCAGGGCAGGCUAAGAAAGGGUCUCUGUGGGGUUGAGCUGCCAGCUGUGGUUAAACCACCACAAACUGGUACAUCUGAGAUCACAGAAAUGGAGCACAGAGCGUGCAUCAUGAUUCCUUGAAGAAAAAAUAGCUCCCGUUUGACACCAACAACUGGCAUGCAGUGUACAGAUACAUGAAUAUUGUCACAACGUUUUAUCAACAUGUGCUGAAAGUAUUCAUGCCAUAUAUAGUCCUGGCCUUCAUGACCUUACAGUAAGAAAAAUUCUUACAAUUCAAAUUUCUUAAAAUUCAAACUGAAAGAAAAAAUGUUUUCCCUGAUCCAUGCUCCCAGUCUCAUGUUGAUGAGCAGCAGCAUGUUUGUGGUGACCAACGCUUCUGUUGAACUAUGAGAUCCAGGGUCCCUAACACCACCUUUUAGUCUUUUUUUUUUGUCUCUCACAGUUCUUUCAGGGUGUCUAGGUUUCCAAAAUGUAUUUUUGUAUUCCUUUGGGUCUGGCAGUGAUCAGUGUCUCCAUUCUGUCCCACCUCUGUGAAUCUGUGAAUCAUCAGGUCAUUCUUUAUCCCUGGGUCUGGGUGUGUUGUGAAGCUGGAGGCAAUAUGCUGGGGUCUUGCUGUGUGCCCCAGACAUUCUGAGAGCCCUGUCCCUGCUUUAUGCUCCUGCUGGUGUCUCCAAACCCAGCCAUCUUCCAUUUCCACCACUCUUAGUCUUCCUAUCACAGUGCUGCACACCUUGACUAACAAAGCUGUGUGGUCAACAUCGAGUUAAUCCUGCCAAGGAGUCAUGCUUUGUUUCUUGAUCAUCUUUCAGCUCACCUAGUGCACUGCAUUUCAAUCUAAUACAACGUGCAACACAGGACAAAAUUUGAUUUUUAUGCAUUUUUCUACUUGUUUAAAACCCUUGGGAGCUUCUUUUCAUUUGCCAGGUAAGGUUGAUUUUAAUUUUCUUCAGCUAUUGAGAAUUAAAUUUGUACCUAGUCUUUGCCUACUGGAUAUGGUCGCCACAAUAAAUCACAUUUCUGAUUAGCUGCUCCAUUCUGAAAUAGAUAUUUGAGGUGAAAGGAAUCAACCUCUGAUGAAAAAUAUGGUUUUUUGCCAGCAGCAGUAAGAGAACUUAGAUUUGCCUACUCCAGUCAGUUGAAUCUUUGUUAGUUUAGGUUGCAGAAGAACCUUUUACAGAAACACAGCUGGAACCAUUUCCAAGUGCUCAGUGAACCAUAAAGACCCACAGCAUGCUCUGACUGUCCAACACUUGUCAAACACUUUCUGCUGGCCCAAGAAGGUACAGAAAACCAAUGGGACUCCAGCCUGUGAGGCAAUAAAUAAUGUGUAUAAUAAACUUGAAUAGUCUGAGAUUUAGAAUGCUUAAAAUGACUGAUCUAAAAAACAAGAUCCUUGCUGCCCUAUUCAAUAUGAUCUAGCACCAGAGAAGAAAGACAGUCUGCUCUCCUUUAACACUGUGGAUAUCCAAGGCCUGGGAGAUCUCAGCCAGAACUUGUACUUGCCUUUGGAGUGGAACAAACUGCUACCCCAGCCCUGAAAACUUCAGGAAGAUUGAGCUCUGAGUUUGGUGCAUCUGCAUCAGAACAAGAAUGAAAGUUCACCUGACUGUUUCAGGGUUUGUUUUUUGUUUUUUUUGGUUUGGUUUGUUUUGUUGUUUUUUUUUUUAGAGAAAGACAGAAAGUUGAAUAACUAAAGUAUGAUAAAAACAUCUGCUUUUGUUUGGGGAUGAGAGGAACAAACCACAUUCUUCCUUUUAUCUUUCCUCAAAAGCCCAGACACCUUCUGCUCAAACUGUAAUGGCUUGCAGUAUGUUUACCACUGUCGAAGCACAGAGGUGAGCAUCAGGUAUGCCACAGUUGGAACAGUUUCACCCUCUGACUUUUUUUUAAUAUAGCAGUACUUCAAACCCUUGGAAAUCAAGAAUGAUUUGAGUGUGGGAUAAAGGAUUCUAAUAUUGCACAAUGUAUGAGCUCUUACAAAAAGGUGCUUAGGGAUAGAUAUCCUAUGUGAACAGUAGGCUGUGCUUUGAGAUAUUACCUUCCAGAACCACUGGUUUUAUUUUAUGUUUCCUAAUCUCGUGGAAAGGAACCUUUUGGAAAGCUGUUGUUCCACUGUCUGGAUGAGGAGCAGCAAGUAGUUUACAAUGUUUAUGGAAAAAGGACUCAACCUUUCAUUUACAGCUGCAAGACAACACAAAUGCCAUGGAAAAGCAGUGUCCAAAACUGAGGCAAACAGUUUUUCCAGUGGUCACCACUGACUUGAAAGCCUUACAGAAGCAGCUGCUUCUGAAUAUCCUUUUAAGCCCAUUGAGCCUUGAUCCAGCUGUUAAAAAUAACAAUGUUUUUCAUCCUCCAUAAUAAUCGGAUCUCACUGGGCAGCGCUGGAGGAGCAGUUGCAUAAAAAAGCUUUGGUUACAUAACAGAAGUGCACUGUACCUCCCGAGCCCCAGGGAAGCCGGGCAGGUCUGUGUGGCAGCCUCCAGCCCUCACAGCUCCCUGUGCUGACACUGGCACCUGCCAAGGGGCUCUGGCAGCCUCACCCCUUUGCAGAGAGCUGCAGAGUAUUCUGCCACACCAGGGCUGGUGCUGCCUUGCCCUCCUGCAGAGGAAGGUCAUGGGAAGAGUGUCUGCAUCUCAUGAUCUGUGUAUUAUCUCAGUCCUCUGGUGACUCUGGCUUUGUACAGAUAUUCUGGGCUUGGCAGUCCUAAGCCUCUGCUCUCUCUGCUGCAGGGUCCCAGGGGGAGGCAGGGCACAGAGUGGGGCACUCGCAUUUCCUGAUGUUACACAUGCAUCCGUGCAGUCACCCUUCAGAGCCCCUCUGCUGAUGUCUGGAUCUCUGCAGCUGAGUGCCCACAACUCCCCUGGGAUGAUGCACCACUUCCCUUUCUCCUGCUUCCUCAGGAGCCAAGUUGACACCCACCUGGGAUAUGUUCCGUGGUGACAUUUUUGGAUUUAGAGAUCAGGUGCUCCCCAUCAGCAAUGCAAUUAAGUGCAUGCACAAGCUGAAACAUUCAGUCCCUCUGGAAGUCAGUAGGACAUUUCACACCAUUAAGUACUUCCCUGGAUUGGUCUCAGACUGUGCAUGAACUUUUCUAUUUCUCUUACAACAAGAUUAACUAAGAAUGAAUGAAAGUGGAAACAGCUAAAACUUUCUUUUUAAAGAAGCUGAAAACGAAGACAAAUAUUUCCCUGAAGAUUUACCAGCAGUAAGUUUGGAUAAAUUCUUGUGGAAAAAUAUGAGACCUAUUUCCACAAAGGUUUCCUACCUAUUUUAAACAACAAACUUCAGCUGAUAUUGUUUUGUAUGCACAGAACUGCACCACAUGCUGCAGUUGGGUUUUACAGGAUGUAAUAAUCCAGAGGCAAAGUAAUAACUGUCUUAACUAAGAGAAAUUAAUUUAGUUGAUCUUAACUGAACAUGUAGGCAAGAUGGGGUUUGUUCUAUUAUUAUCUCAUGCCAGGAAAACUCCAAAGAGUUGAGAGAAGAGACUUAUCCUGUGAAACACCUGAUAAAUGCACUGCACCUCAGGGCAUUUUUUUUUUAGGUCUUUGAAGUCACAUCAGCCUGGUUUGUGUGAAAUGCAGUAAAGAUGGGCACUGUUGGGCACUGUUAGCUAUUCUGUGUUUCAUUGCUCAGAACAGCUUUCUUUUUCCAAUGCUGACUGUGACUAAAGCCAACCUGCUGCUAUGAAAGGGUAAAUUGCCUCUUUGAGAGCCCUUUGGCAGAUACAGUGUGUGAAAAGAGCAUCCAGGCAUUUUGGUUACUCACCAUUAUACCACAGGAAUGUUGAAGAGUUUCCAGUUUGGAAAGCACAGCACCAGGACCACACCCUCUGAACAGGUUAAAGGAGGACAUUAAUGCUGGACUACUCAUUUUCCUCAAAAACUGCCUGUCCCUAAUCUUCAGUGGUACCCACCAUGGGCAGAACUCGGAGGAAGAUUGCCAAAAUCUGUGUUGCUGAAUGUGUGGUAGGUAGAAAGGCUGUGCUUGAGUGAAUGAUCAGUCUGAAGCAGGUGCCUUCAGAUGGAUGAGUGAGGCUCUGCUUGUCACCUGAAGCCUUUGGAAGAAAGAACCAUUGGAUGUUAUGCAGGUCCAGAAAGUCCAAGCAAGAGCAUCUCAGGACUUGCUGAGAAUGUUUGAUAAAUCUCAGCAGUAAAUAGAUUCAUCUGGGAAGAUCACCAGACAUUUCUCUUCUCUUUUCAGCUGUACAUGGGCUCUGUCAGAUGCUAUGGCUUCAGUGAGAUCUCUGAGAAAGCAAACCCAUCUCAAAUAAAAGCUCACAGGUCUGGAUUAAAAUCAUGGAAACUUAAAUUGGCAUAUUUCACACAGCCCUGAUAUUUUCCUUCCUCCUGACUGCAGUUUCUAUCAUUUAGGGUACCAUUUGCUCAAUUUAUUACAAUGUGCUUUUGGUUUCAUCCUCCCACUUUGCAACCUUGGUGCAUUUUGUUCCCAUGAAGGAUCACAAUAUAAAUCACUAGGUCAGGGAAUAAUGAGUUUAGUAUUUUUUAAAAGCCUCCCACUGUAAGUCAGGAUAUCGACUCAUCAUUCAGCAGGUGAUGGGAUAUAAUAAGGGGACAUUUUUUCCUUUAAUUGCUGUUGAAAAUGGAAGAAGGGCAACAGAAAGACUUAGUUUUCUGAGACAAGGAUCUCAGCUUCACUAGGCUUUAGUUCACUAGGAAUCACCUAAUAGGCUUGAGCAUAAAGAGCUGGACAAAGCCAAAAGGAAAAAUAAACUGAUGAAAGACUCCAGCAGGACUUUGCCUUCCUAGUCUGAAAAAUAGAUUAAAUAUGAUUAUACCAUUACGUAAAUAGACAGUGAGAAAAGGCUGACCUUGUGGUCUGUGAGUUGAAUGGAAUGGAGCAUCUCCUGGUUUCCAACCCUAUCUCUUCCAGACUUGUUUGCUCAUGACAGCAGGGGUGAAUGUUCAAAGAACCACAAACACAAAGGCCAGGAGAGACCUCACUGAACUGCUGCAAACCCAGUUAUGAGGUGGUUUUGCCCAGUACUUUCUGCACUGAGCCAGUUGAGUAUGGUGAAGGUGAUCAAGGACACAGUGGAUUUUUUUUCUCAGAUGAGAGGGUAAAGUGGUAUCAUAAGGUCUAAGGAAGGCAGUAGAAUCUCUCUCAGAAUCAAUAUGCAGAUGAAAAUCCUGCCACCAGGAUUUUGUGUCUCCCUGAGAGGAGAACUCUGAGUUCCUGCCUAGCCUUCAGUGGGAACAGAAUCAUCACCUUUUAACAAGCUCAUUCCUACCUGUGGCUGCUGCCAAGUCCACCCCUGGCCCAACCCAACGGAGUCACCCAGGGCCUGUGUCAAUGCCACCUCCAGCUACUGACCCUGCAGCCACCAAAAAGACAUCAAGAUUCGACAAAUAUUCUUGCAGGAGGAAAAACUGCCAGAAACUGUCCCUGGAGUAUCUCUCCCUUUGUACACUGAGGGAGAUGAGCACAUUUGCAGAAUUAAUGGGCUGUGAUGACAUCCCAGUGACCCUGAGAAAGUUACUGAUGCACUUAGAGACAACAGGGCAGGAUGACAGACAAGAUACUUGAAAUACCUGAAUCCUGCUCUGGCACUUCCUGAUCUGCAGCAAGGCUCAGCCCAGAAGGAAACUCACAUCAACCAGUCUGCAACUUCCCCUCCCAAGCUGAGCAGAGGGGAAAACCGAUAUGGAUCUUGUGUCAGCUGCUGUCUGCAGGGUGGAGAGCCUCUUGUCACUGGUUCAACAAAUCAAGCAAGGGGAAGAGCAGGCAAACGGGGCAAAAAAGCAAGAUGAUCUUGCAGUCGAUGCAGCAUCAGGAAGAACAGGAAGAGCUGAAGAGCAAGAGCAGUGCUUGUGGCAGGAUCUGCAGAACUCUUCACGCUGCAAGUGAAAGUAAGAGAGGAAGAGCAGCCCUUUGAAGUCCCCCCACCCUUCCUGUGUCUCAGCAACAGAGACAUAGAGAAGAGAGGUCCAAAUGCAAUUACUUUUACCACCAGGAUGAAGAGAAAUACCAUGUCAGUACAACAACAUGUUUUAUCAUCACCCUGUCUCCAAGUCCUACCAGGGCUCUGGUACAGUCCUGUGCAGUCAGAAUUGAGGGGGGCUUGCAAUUCAAGCAAGGCUGUAGGCACACCAGGGAGUUGAGAUUCAUGUGGCUGCAAGCACCUUGGAAAGGCUUCACAAGGCUGUGAAUCGAUUAUAGGCCACUUUCAGGGUCAUCUUGAUUAUAGAAAAAAUAAAUGCUGGGUCACCUGUUGUCAGAACCCAGGACAUCCCUCUGGGUGCCCUGGAUGGCCCGAGCUGCUGGCAGGGGGCUCUGAGAUCCUGGCAUGCAGCCA